UUCCGGUUGAUCCUGCCGGACCUGACUGCUAUCGGAUUGAUACUAAGCCAUGCGAGUCAUUGUAGCAAUACAAGGCAGACGGCUCAGUAACGCGUAGUCAACCUAACCUAUGGACGGGAAUAACCUCGGGAAACUGAGAAUAAUGCCCGAUAGAACACUAUACCUGGAAUGGUUUGUGUUCCAAAUGAUUUAUCGCCGUAGGAUGGGACUGCGGCCUAUCAGUUUGUUGGUGAGGUAAUGGCCCACCAAGACUAUUACAGGUACGGGCUCUGAGAGGAGUAGCCCGGAGAUGGGUACUGAGACACGGACCCAGGCCCUAUGGGGCGCAGCAGGCGAGAAAACUUUGCAAUGUGCGAAAGCACGACAAGGUUAAUCCGAGUGGUUUCUGCUAAAGGAACCUUUUGUCGGUCCUAGAAACACCGAUGAAUAAGGGGUGGGCAAGUUCUGGUGUCAGCCGCCGCGGUAAAACCAGCACCUCAAGUGGUCAGGAUGAUUAUUGGGCCUAAAGCAUCCGUAGCCGGCGCUAUAAGUUUUCGGUUAAAUCUGUACGCUCAACGUACAGGCUGCCGGGAAUACUGUAGCGCUAGGGAGUGGGAGAGGUAGACGGUACUCGGUAGGAAGGGGUAAAAUCCUUUGAUCUAUUGAUGACCACCUGUGGCGAAGGCGGUCUACCAGAACACGUCCGACGGUGAGGGAUGAAAGCUGGGGGAACAAACCGGAUUAGAUACCCGGGUAGUCCCAGCUGUAAACUAUGCAAACUCAGUGAUGCAUUGGCUUGUGGCCAAUGCAGUGCUGCAGGGAAGCCGUUAAGUUUGCCGCCUGGGAAGUACGUACG
rnacentral:rRNA from 1 species